GAAGACAUCUCCCAACAAGGAGAUCAAAUCCGAGCCAAAUCUCCAACUCUCUUCUAUAAAACGGAAACCCCCUCCCUUCCUCGGCCUUCCAUCAUGGGAAAAUCCCUCUUCCACUCCCUCUUUCUCCCGAUUUUUCUUCGUUUCCUUGCUCUCGGAUUGAAGGCACUGCACCGGCGAAAUUGUGGCCCAAAACACCACCAAGAGUAAGGUGAUCCAUCGAGAAACCCUCUCUUUGAUUUCUUCUUAGAAUUUAGUCGAGAUUUUUGGGUUUUUAUCUGCUGAUAUUUUGGAGUAAAAGAUCGGAUUCCGGAACCUCUAUUUCUACCGUCCGCAUUUAUGGGUGUUCCGGCGCCGUCCGAUGCCAUUCAUCGCCGGCGAGCUCCGACCAGGAAGCCACGGCUACGCCGCCCUGGGUUGAACCCCCCACUCGCCGUUCCAGGCGAGACUUCCAUGGAAUCGGGGAGGAGAAGAAGGGGGGCACGGUCCCCUGUUCUGUUCAACUGAGAA
rnacentral:lncRNA from 1 species